GCGCACGGGUGCGUAACGCGUAUGCAACUUGCCUCACAGAGGGGGAUAACCCGUCGAAAGACGGACUAAUACCGCGUACACUCCACUUUGGGCAUCCAAGGUAGAGGAAAUGAAUUUCGCUGUGAGAUAGGCAUGCGUCCCAUUAGCUAGUUGGUGAGGUAACGGCUCACCAAGGCGACGAUGGGUAGGGGAACUGAGAGGUUGAACCCCCACACUGGUACUGAGACACGGACCAGACUCCUACGGGAGGCAGCAGUGAGGAAUAUUGGUCAAUGGGCGAGAGCCUGAACCAGCCAAGUCGCGUGAAGGAUGACUGUCUUAUGGAUUGUAAACUUCUUUUGUAGGGGAAUAAAGAAUGGUACGUGUACCAUAGUGAAUGUACCCUACGAAUAAGCAUCGGCUAACUCCGUGCCAGCAGCCGCGGUGAUACGGAGGAUGCGAGCGUUAUCCGGAUUUAUUGGGUUUAAAGGGUGCGUAGGCGGCCUGUUAAGU
rnacentral:rRNA from 1 species